AAAUCUAUAACUCAGAGGAUAGAGUAUGUAGCUACGAACUACAAAGACGAAGGUUCAAAUCCUUCUAGAUUUA
rnacentral:tRNA from 1 species